UAACUUUAUUUUUAAUUUUAAAAUUAAAUAGAUCAAGCACAUUCACUGACCAUUUUGGCUGCACAUAUACAACAGACAGAGAAGAUACAGACGGGAUUCGUCACAUCUUACAAUUCAUUCAGCAAAUUACAUGAUAUUGGCAAAAGUUUGGAAUAUCGCGAGCGGUUAUGUUACGUUGGUCCAACGUUUUCACAACAUGUUUCCAAGGGAAGCUACUCUUGUUAUAGAGGGCGCUGUUACUCACGCGCGUCUUUUCAAGCAGACGACGAAAGGAUGAUGCGCGGAGGGCUGAGGGAAAAUCUAUUUUGCGGUAAGUGUUUACUUCAUUACUGUAUUUACGAGGUGUUUAUUUCAUUUUCAAACCUUACAAUUGAAACGAGAAACAGUGUACAUUCAUAAGUGUCAACAUGAGUAGAGAAAUCUAGGCCUAUGUGUUUUGGAGGUUCGAGAAACACACUCCUGUCAAUUCUACGUCAGUGUCAAAAUCCGUAGAAUAUGUCGUGACACUGCAUCCUCACUAAAUUCUCUAUUUAUAUUUUUUAAACACCAUAUACAUAUUUCUAGCAAAACGCGGGGACAAGGGCAAAUACAAAACAUGACAAGAUAUGUUUUAUUUCCAUGUAGAUUCAGCGAUGUUCAACCAACGAGUCGCAAUCUCGGGAAAAUCAGAUGUUUAGCCAUUUCCUAUUGGUAAACAUGGAUGAGCUGAAUGAACUCUUAGCAGCUUUUCCAAAAUCGAGCAACUGAGAGAGAACUGAAGCUGAGGAGGAAGCCUGCAGCUGGGCUCUUACAAGCCACUGACAAGUACAUGGUGACCUGUGUAAAAGAAUGGCUUCGAGUUCCAGGAGCAAGGCUUAGAAAUGGCAUAAAGAAAACGCGUACUGAAAAACAGAGAUGUAGAUAGAGAAUCUGCAAACAAAAGUGCUGAAUUGCAGCGGAACAAAGAAAUCCAAAAUGUUGGUGUUGACAACAUAUUUUUCACAGGGUUAUGACCCUUGUUUUUGAACUUGGUACAUAUUCUGCCAGGUUCUCUUGGACACUACUGAAGUUAAUAAAUGAAACUUUCCGUGCUUACCUAAGGUACAAACUCCAGAAGAUGGUUAUAAGAACUUAUUUUGUAUGGAGUUAUGGCCUUUGCUUCAUGCUAUUUUAACUUGAUGAAAUAUGGGGGGGGGGGGGGCUUUGUCUUGCAAACGAAUUUGAAGCCACAUAAAUGAAAUUUUGCAGGCCAAUAUGAGGGGUAUAUGUUUAGACUGUGUUUUAAAACAGGUUUUGAGAAUAUAUGUUUCACAUCCGCCUUGUUGCAGGUAGUAACACUGUUUUCUUGUAAAUAAUAAUUAAUUAAUAAUAAAGUUUAUUAUUCUA
rnacentral:lncRNA from 1 species